UGCAGCUCUAACGUCUUCUGUAUAACGACUUACUGUGGGCACAACGCUUUCUGGUUCGUCUUCUCCUUCACUUUUCCCAACUACCUGUGAGAUAGAUAUUUGUGUUAUCCACACUUUACGGAGGAAGAAACAAGUCCAGGACAAUUAAGGGGCUGCUCUAAACUGUCGAAGUUAUAAAAUGGUAGAAGUGCUCUAGAGCUGUCCCUUUCGCUACCCCACAGCUAACCACCAUUUGGGGACAGGACAACAGUUUCUUCUUUGCUUCAGUGUCAGAGAUAGACCUUGUAAAAACCAUGUGAUCUGCGACGCUGACUAUUUUUUUCAACUUAAGGAAUUCAGUGGCAAGGGACCUGACAACACCUACGCCUGGCCUGAACUUCCCUGGAGUGGCUCCGGGGUCUAGGAAGAGGAUGCUUUGCCUGAGUAUCUUCUAUAGAAGGAGUCUCAUUGAAUUGACUUUGGGCUUGGUCAUGUUUCAUUAUUUGGCUGAUGGGAUGUGAGCAGAUGUGACUCAUGCCAUGUUCGAGCAUGUCUGGCCUAUGAAACCUCCCAAAAGAGAUCCUUCAUAUUCUUUCCUUUCUGGCUUGAUGAAGAUGACUUUGAGCACAGUGAUCCUGAAGGACACAUGUUAAAGACAAUGGAGCCACAGGAUAGAAGGAACUUGGUUCCCUGAAUUAUCACUUGGUAGAGAGCUGCCUGCUAAUCAGGAUCAUGUGUUUUGGACUUCGCUUGACCAAUAAAUCAAUACCUAUUUUGUCAUACCAUUAAAAAGUUGGGGUUUAUCUUUAGUGUUUUCCUAAUCAGUACAUCAAGUUAAAAGUUUGGACUUGAUUCCCCUCAGGAAUGGGAAGUUAGUCACUGAUGAUUUUUCUGAACAAGGGGAAUAAUACUGUGAAGACAGGUGGAAGUUGCAGUUAUAGGGAUCAAAUAAUACUUUUGAGUGAGGCUGGAAGAUUUGGAGACUGUUGGUUUUUUCGGAAUGUAGGCUAACUCCUCAUUCAGGGAGAGGGGAUAAUUGUCAUGAUUGUUGAAAGGCUCUCUAGAGCUGUGGAAGGAGCUGAUAAAAAGCGAAUCUGAUUUCCCUGGAGUUUUAAGUCUCUUUUUUCUUUUGUAAAAGUCCUAAUUCUGUUAGUGCCUCAU